AUGCAAGUCGCACGGGAUUUGUUUUGUAGCAAUACAAAGCAAGUCCAGUGGCGCAAGGGUGCGUAACACGUGGGCAAUCUGCCGAGAAGUGGGGGAUAGCUCGCCGAAAGGCGAAUUAAUACCGCAUGUGGCCAGGGAAGACAUCUUCCCGACGCCAAAGCCGGGGCAACCUGGCGCUUCUUGAUGAGCCCGCGGCCUAUCAGCUAGUUGGUGAGGUAACGGCUCACCAAGGCUAUGACGGGUAGCUGGUCUGAGAGGACGACCAGCCACACUGGAACUGAGACACGGUCCAGACACCUACGGGUGGCAGCAGUCGAGAAUUUUUCUCAAUGGGGGCAACCCUGAAGGAGCGACGCCGCGUGGAGGAUGAAGGUCUUCGGAUUGUAAACUCCUGUCAUUAGGGAACAAGGUCCGCGAUUAACUGUCGCCGGAAUUGAUAGUACCUGAAGAGGAAGAGACGGCUAACUCUGUGCCAGCAGCCGCGGUAAUACAGAGGUCUCAAGCGUUGUUCGGAUUCAUUGGGCGUAAAGGGUGCGUAGGUGGCAAGGUAAGUCGGGUGUGAAAUCCCGGGGCUCAACCCUGGAACUGCACUCGAUACUGCCAUGCUCGAGUACUGGAGAGGAGACUGGAAUUUACGGUGUAGCAGUGAAAUGCGUAGAUAUCGUAAGGAAGACCAGUGGCGAAGGCGAGUCUCUGGACAGUUACUGACACUGAGGCACGAAGGCCAGGGGAGCAAACGGGAUUAGAUACCCCGGUAGUCCUGGCAGUAAACGGUGCGCGUUUGGUGUGGGAGGAUUCGACCCCUUCUGUGCCGGAGCUAACGCGUUAAACGCGCCGCCUGGGGAGUACGGUCGCAAGAUUAAAACUCAAAGAAAUUGACGGGGGCCCGCACAAGCGGUGGAGUAUGUGGCUUAAUUCGAUGCAACGCGAAGAACCUUACCUGGGCUUGACAUGCAUCUCUAAGUCGGUGAAAGCCGGCGAGUGGAGCAAUCCACAAUUUGCACAGGUGCUGCAUGGUUGUCGUCAGCUCG
rnacentral:rRNA from 1 species